CAAUAGAAAGCCCAUGAUAUUUUAUUAUUUAUUUAUUUAUUUAUUUUAAAGGGUCUUAAUCACUAUAAAAUAAAUAAAUAAUAAAUAAUAAGGGGGAAGAAGUAGAAGGGUCUUAAUCAUGCCCUCCACCUCUCACCAUGAUGCACGGACCUUCAGUUCGAUCUGACAAUUAUCCGAGGUGAGCCACCACCUCCAUGCCAGAUAUCAUCUUUGGUGAGAGGGAGGAUUUUCAUGCCGGAUGGUUGCCCUAUUUCCCCUCUAAGAUCCAUGCA
rnacentral:lncRNA from 1 species